rnacentral:misc_RNA from 1 species
GAUGAAGAACGCAGCGAAAUGCGAUAAGUAGUGUGAAUUGCAGAAUUCAGUGAAUCAUCGAAUCUUUGAACGCACAUUGCGCCCCUUGGUAUUCCAUGGGGCAUGCCUGUUCGAGCGUCAUUUGUACCUUCAAGCUCUGCUUGGUGUUGGGUGUUUGUCUCGCCUCUGCGUGUAGACUCGCCUCAAAACAAUUAGCAGCCGGCGUAUUGAUUUCGGAGCGCAGUACAUCUCGCGCUUUGCACUCAUAACGACGACGUCCAAAAGUACAUUUUUACACUCUUGACCUCGGAUCAGGUAGGGAUACCCGCUGAACUUAAGCAUAUCAAUAAGCGGAGGA